UACGUAGGGUGCAAGCGUUGUCCGGAAUUAUUGGGCGUAAAGAGCUCGUAGGCGGUUUGUCGCGUCUGCCGUGAAAGUCCGGGGCUCAACUCCGGAUCUGCGGUGGGUACGGGCAGACUAGAGUGAUGUAGGGGAGACUGGAAUUCCUGGUGUAGCGGUGAAAUGCGCAGAUAUCAGGAGGAAUACCGGUGGCGAAGGCGGGUCUCUGGGCCGAUACUGACGCUGAGGAGCGAAAGCGUGGGGAGCGAACAGG
rnacentral:rRNA from 1 species